rnacentral:misc_RNA from 1 species
GCAAACUUGGUCAUUUAGAGGAAGUAAAAGUCGUAACAAGGUUUCCGUAGGUGAACCUGCGGAAGGAUCAUUACUGAGGUUACCGGGGGUGAAGUUUGGUUGGGCUUCGUUGCUGGCGGGAGGGGGCUCCCCCUGCAUGUGCACGGGCUCUCCUUCUCGCCCUCGUUCCUUCUAUCAACCCCUGUGCACUCUAUUAGGAUUAGGGAGAAGCGCGCCGUUUCAAGGAUUAACGUAGUAGUUGUGGGUCCCAAUCCGCGGCGAAAGGUUAAUCUGUGAUCCGCGGCCGCGUGGUACCUCAAAGUCCUUCUUUAUUACAAACCACAAUACAUGUCUUGUCAGAAUGCUCAGUCCCUCGUUGGACGCUAAUUACAAUACAACUUUCAACAACGGAUCUCUUGGCUCUCGCAUCGAUGAAGAACGCAGC